AUUGAACGCUGGCGGCAUGCCUUACACAUGCAAGUCGAACGGUAACGCGGGGCAACCUGGCGACGAGUGGCGAACGGGUGAGUAAUGCAUCGGAACGUGCCCAGUAGUGGGGGAUAGCCCGGCGAAAGCCGGAUUAAUACCGCAUACGACCUACGGGUGAAAGCGGGGGACCGUAAGGCCUCGCGCUAUUGGAGCGGCCGAUGUCAGAUUAGGUUGUUGGUGGGGUAAAGGCCUACCAAGCCGACGAUCUGUAGCUGGCCUGAGAGGACGACCAGCCACACUGGGACUGAGACACGGCCCAGACUCCUACGGGAGGCAGCAGUGGGGAAUUUUGGACAAUGGGGGCAACCCUGAUCCAGCCAUGCCGCGUGCGGGAAGAAGGCCUUCGGGUUGUAAACCGCUUUUGUCAGGGAAGAAACGCUCUGGGCUAAUACCCUGGGGUAAUGACGGUACCUGAAGAAUAAGCACCGGCUAACUACGUGCCAGCAGCCGCGGUAACAC
rnacentral:rRNA from 1 species